AACGAAUGCUGGCGGCAGGCCUAACACAUGCAAGUCGAGCGGACCCUUCGGGGUUAGCGGCGGACGGGUGAGUAACGCGUGGGAAUAUGCCCUUCUCUACGGAAUAGUCCUGGGAAACUGGGGGUAAUACCGUAUACGCCCUUUGGGGGAAAGAUUUAUCGGGGAAGGAUUAGCCCGCGUUGGAUUAGGUAGUUGGUGGGGUAAUGGCCUACCAAGCCGACGAUCCAUAGCUGGUUUGAGAGGAUGAUCAGCCACACUGGGACUGAGACACGGCCCAGACUCCUACGGGAGGCAGCAGUGGGGAAUCUUAGACAAUGGGGGCAACCCUGAUCUAGCCAUGCCGCGUGAGUGAUGAAGGCCUUAGGGUUGUAAAGCUCUUUCAGCUGGGAAGAUAAUGACGGUACCAGCAGAAGAAGCCCCGGCUAACUCCGUG
rnacentral:rRNA from 1 species